CCCAGUUUUUUGGAGGUCUGACCUCAUACACUCGCUACCACAUUAACACCCAAAAAGGCGCAAACGAUAGCGGCGAACGAGUUAGUAACACGUGGGAACUAACCUAUAAGACUCGCAUAAUUCCGCGAAAGCGGAACUAAUACGAGAUGGUCUCUGUCUGUAAAAAGAUAAGAGUAAAGGAGAAAUCCGCUUAUAGAUAGGCCCGCGGCCUAUCAGCUUGUUGGUGGGGUAAUGGCCUACCAAGGCGAUGACGGGUAGGGGGCGUGAGAGCGCGUUCCCCAACGAUAGCACUGCGACACGGGCUAUACACCUACGGGUGGCUGCAGUCGAGAAUCUUCGGCAAUGGGCGCAAGCCUGACCGAGCGACGCCGCGUGCGGGAAGAAGAUCUUAGGGUUGUAAACCGCUUUUAUUAGGGAGGAACUUCGGUGACUGUACCUAAUGAAUAAGGGGGGGCUAAUCACGUGCCAGCAGCAGCGGUAAUACGUGACCCUCAAACGUUAUCCGGAUUUAUUGGGCGUAAAGAGUCUUAAGGCGGUUAAGUAAGUCCUUGGUCAAAUCUUCGGGGCUCAACCUCGAAACCGCCAGGGAAACUGCUUUUCUAGAGGACGUUAGAGGCCAGAGGAACGCACGGUGUAGGGGUGAAAUCCGUUGAUAUCGUGCGGAACACCAAAAGCGAAGGCAUCUGGCUGGGGCGAUCCUGACGCUGAACGACGAAAGCUAGAGCAGAAAAAAGGAUUAGAUACCCUUGUAUUUCUAGCUGUAAACGAUGGAUACUAGCUGGUGGAAGUAUCGACCCUUUCACUGGCGAAGCUAACGCGUUAAGUAUCUCGCCUGGGAAGUACGAUGGCAACAUUAAAACUCAAAGGAAUAGACGGGGAUCUACACAAGCGGUGGAUCACGUGGCUUAAUUCGACGAUAAGCGAAAACCUUACCAGGGUUUGACAUGCUAGUGGAAAUCUAACCGAAAGGUUGGACCCCGCAAGGCCGCUAGCACAGGUGUUGCAUGGUUGUCAUCAGCAGGUGCCGUGAAAAAAUGCAUGUCGCGGCUUUGGCGAGAAAUCGCCAUAGAAAAACUGGCUCAUAACGGUGAAAGCCCGCGCCUUCUUGUUGUUAUCUUUUCUGUGCUAAAAUUAAAAUAUAUGCAUAGCUUAAAUGACAUCAAAAAGGCGCGGGACAAUACCGUGGGAAGUCGGGAAGCAAUUCCGAGAAUUUUUCAUACGAAAAAAAAUUUUAGGGAUUCUACAUUGAAGUUAAAUCAAGAUGAAUUUGAUGUUUUGUUUGGAUCAGUGCUUGGAGACGCAUACA
rnacentral:rRNA from 2 species